GUGUAUCCUUAACAUCUUUCCACAUUAUUAAAUUUUCUUCUACAAUAAAAAUUUUAAUGUAUGCAUUAGUAUUCAAUUUUAAGCAGCCACCAUUAAUAACUUGAUUAUUAUUAUUAUUUUUUGUCGCUUUUUAGGGCCACACCCAUGGCAUAUGGAGGUUCCCAGGCUAGGGGUCAAAUUGGAGCUACAGCUGCUGGCCUACACCACAGCCACAGCAAUGCCAGCCACAUCUGUGACCUACACCACAGCUCACGGCAACACUGGAUCCUUAAACCACUGAGCGAGGCCAGGGAUCAAACUUGAAACCUCGUGUUUCCUAGUUGGAUUCGUUAACCACGAGCCACACAGGGAACUCCCAAUUUACCCUUGCUUUUAAUGCUUUGAGGCUGUUUUACCUUCGAAGUCAUUUUGGAAAUAUUCCUUCCAAUUUAUUAUACUUCCUUACUUUUGUUUUGUUGUUUUCUGAUGCACAGAUAUUUUACAUUUUUAUUUACUUAAAUCUAUUAUGUUUUUCUUCAAGGGCUCUGCCUUGAUUUACAUGUUUGAAAAGGUUUCCCCUACCACAGAGUUCUUUCUUCUGAUUCUUUUGGAUUUUAUUCCAUGCCCUCCAUCUGGAAUUCAUUUGGAUGUAUGGAUUGAGAGAACCCUUAGUAUCCUGAGUUGCACAUCCACGGAUUCAACCAACUCUGGAUCAAAAAUCCAACCAACUGCUGUGAAGAACCUAUGGAUGCAGAAGACUGGUGACCGUAUUUUAUGUAAAGGACUUGAGCAUCCAUGGAUUUUGGUAUCCAUAGGGUUUCUGGGAGCAAUCUCCCAUGGGUACUAAGGUAAGACUGUAAUGAUAAUUUGUUCUCUGCUCCAAUUUUCACACAUCACAUUCCACUUUCUUGUAUAUUGUAUUAGUUAGAACCUCCAGAAAAAUACUAACCAAGGUCAAUUGCUGUGGGCAGUCUUGAGGCAGACUUCAGUAGAACUACCUCCAGUGUUUCAACAUGAAGUGCAAUAUUGGUCAUAUGACUAAGACAUGUAUAGGUAUAUUUAUCAUAUUUAAGGAAAUAACUCACUUCAGGUCACU
rnacentral:lncRNA from 9 species